rnacentral:rRNA from 1 species
UACGUAGGGUGCAAGCGUUGUCCGGAAUUAUUGGGCGUAAAGAGCUCGUAGGCGGUUUGUCGCGUCGGCUGUGAAAGCCCGGAGCUCAACUCCGGGUCUGCAGUCGAUACGGGCAGACUAGAGUGUUGCAGGGGAGACUGGAAUUCCUGGUGUAGCGGUGAAAUGCGCAGAUAUCAGGAGGAACACCGGUGGCGAGGGCGGGUCUCUGGGCAACAACUGACGCUGAGGAGCGAAAGCGUGGGGAGCGAACAGGAUUAGAAACCCUGGUAGU